UCUGUGUUGCCGAGAAAAGAGAAGGGAUGAAAGAGGAGGCCGGAGGCUUCAACUCGCGAUGUUGGCGGCGAGGGUGAUGUGUUUUGCGGGCGACAAUCAGCGAAGGAGAAGAGAGAUGGGACGACAGCCGUGAAUUCGUCGGAGACGGCAUGACAUCGUUGCCGGAAGAGGAGAAAAAGAUGAGCACUGCGUGAAGGCGUGAAGUGAGAUGCUAGACUUUGUUGAGUUCUGAUUUUGAGAGCUUCAAAUCCAAAUUUCACGUAAGGAGUUGGAAUUGAUUUGGGUUGAGAUAAAUUAAUUGAAUGGAAGAUUGGGCCGGAGUACUCUAAAUCAAUGGGUGACUUCAAGCACGCUUUUCGAGGACGGAAUGAAACACAAGUUAAAGCUUUAAAUGAACGAGGUUGAGCGUGACGGGUGCGGUGGGUGUUGAGCAAG